CCUACGUGAGGCAGCAGUGAGGAAUAUUGGUCAAUGGGCGCGAGCCUGAACCAGCCAAGUAGCGUGAAGGAUGACUGCCCUACGGGUUGUAAACUUCUUUUAUAAAGGAAUAAAGUGAGGCACGUGUGCCUUUUUGUAUGUACUUUAUGAAUAAGGAUCGGCUAACUCCGUGCCAGCAGCCGCGGUAAUACGGAGGAUCCGAGCGUUAUCCGGAUUUAUUGGGUUUAAAGGGAGCGUAGAUGGGUUGUUAAGUCAGUUGUGAAAGUGUGCGGCUCAACCGUAAAAUUGCAAUUGAUACUGGCAGUCUUGAGUACAGUUGAGGUAGGCGGAAUUCGUGGUGUAGCGGUGAAAUGCUUAGAUAUCACGAAGAACUCCGAUUGCGAAGGCAGCUUACUAAACUGCCACUGACAUUGAUGCUCGAAAGUGUGGGUAUCAAACAGGAUUAGAGACCCGAGUAGUC
rnacentral:rRNA from 1 species